AGAAAAUCCUUACAAACCAGAUUUAGCUGGUGUCUCAAUCACCACUGUCACUUAUACCAUGUGCCCCACUUCUCAGGGACUCAUAUUUCCUGUCACCACCUCUUGUGGCUUCUGAACAGCACCUCCAGCUUUCUCUUCUGCCUCUUCCUUACAGGAGUCCUCCUCUCUCUGGAACAAAGGUGCUGCCAUAUUCCUGGCGAUAGCCGUGGUGGAAUCAGAUGGAGAAUAAACCAUUUUCCUGGAAACAAUUCUACUUUGACUAAAUGAGAAACAAAACAUAAUUUUUCAUAUUAUUUCAACAGAAUAUUGCGUGCAAAAACUUCUAGUCAUUUUUAAUAGGCUUAGUGGAGUUAGCAAUUCUCUAAGUAAAACUUACAAAAGGACAUCUCUUUGAGGCAGAGAUUGGAGGCUCUGAAGAAAGGGCACUGGUGGGUAAGGGUUGAAAUUGGAAUCAUUACUGGCCCGUUUCUUUCUCCACUGUACCAGGUGAUCUGGAGCAAGUUCAAGGGCAUUGACAUAGGGUGGAAAACAAAGAGGGUCAAACUUUUAGGGGCAGCAAACGGAGGGGCAAGGAACACACAAAGGAGAAAAACCCAAAGCCAUAGCUGUGCAAUAGAAGCCAAUUUACUUGAGGUGCUACUACAAAUGUUCAUUUUUAAGGUGAGUGGAGAGACUAGAAACUACCUUGGCAUUACAUAGCAAGGGCAUUUGGGGGGAUUUCUGUAUAAAUUUUACUAAAAUGUAAAUGGUGCAAAGAAUUUCCAUCUUAAGCCACUUGUAUUAACAAGUAUUUCAAGUUUUGGGUUUACUAAAUUUAAAAAACAUUAGAGAUACAAAUUAAUUAAUAAAAGGAUGAUUUUCUUAUUUUGGGAAAUUGAAGAAUGCCAUUUUCUGCACCUAGCAUCAGACCGAGGAUAUGAGGUGAGUCUGCCUAUGUGAAUCGCCUUGCCUGUUUUCAUUAAUGACCGUGUCCUUUGUUAAUAUUCUUACGAUGAAAUGUAUUCAGAAAUAUCAUUUCAUUUUCUGAAAGUAAAAACUUAGUCAAAAAACAGAGCCAAAUGAGACACAGUGAUGGUGAACCAUUAAUCUCUUCCAAACGGGCUCUUUAAACUCUAAUAAUAAAAAGUAUCACCUGGCUUCGCAUUUCCCCUUUGCAUAUGCAUACAUUUUGAAUGCUUUUCAGUUAUCUUGUCUAUUGUUGUUUACGUGCAUUUUAAAAUCUAUGGUGAAUAUGUGUUCUCUCUGAGACUUGUUUAUGGAAUCCUCAAGAAAAGAGUGGAAGAAGCUGUUUAUUGAAAUCUCUUGUCUCACACUUGGCACCAGGACAUGCCAGGUUUAAAACAAUGUUUGCCUGAAGGCACAUGCACAUUUCCAACUUAAAAGAUUUUGGAACUAAAAUAGAGUGUAGAUACUUAGCGAAUAUUCUCCUAAAAAGCAAUUUACCUCUAGAAGCUACUGGGUUUUAGA
rnacentral:lncRNA from 1 species